rnacentral:rRNA from 1 species
GUCCACGCCGUAAACGAUGUCUACUAGCCGUUGGGGUACUUGAUACCUUAGUGGCGCAGCUAACGCACUAAGUAGACCGCCUGGGGAGUACGGCCGCAAGGUUAAAACUCAAAUGAAUUGACGGGGGCCCGCACAAGCGGUGGAGCAUGUGGUUUAAUUCGAUGCAACGCGAAGAACCUUACCAGGCCUUGACAUACAGCGAACUUUCCAGAGAUGGAUUGGUGCCUUCGGGAACGCUGAUAC